AGGAGGCAGCAGUGAGGAAUAUUGGGCAAUGGGCGAAAGCCUGACCCAGCAACGCCGCGUGGAGGAUGACGGUCUUCGGAUUGUAAACUCCUUUUGACAGGGACGAGGAAGGACGGUACCUGUCGAAUCAGUCACGGCUAACUACGUGCCAGCAGCCGCGGUAAAACGUAGGUGGCGAGCGUUAUCCGGAUUUACUGGGCGUAAAGGGUGUGCAGGCGGGCCGUUAAGUGGUGCAUGAAAGCACUGGGCUUAACCCAGUGAGGCUGUGCCAGACUGGCGGUCUGGAGUGCGCGAGAGGGCUGUGGAAUUCCGGGUGUAGUGGUGAAAUGCGUAGAGAUCCGGAGGAACACCAGAGGCGAAGGCGGCAGCCUGGCGCACAACUGACGCUGAGACACGACAGCAUGGGGAGCGAACGGGAUUAGAUACCCUGGUAU
rnacentral:rRNA from 1 species